AUUUUCUGCCACCGAAUACAUUAGCAUGGGAUAAUGGAAUAGGACCCUGUCCUCCUAUUUUCAGUUGGUUUUGGCAGCGCGAGGACUAGGGUAAUGAUUAAUAGGGAUAGUUGGGGGCAUUAAUAUUUAAUUGUCAGAGGUGAAAUUCUUGGAUUUAUGAAAGAUUAACUUCUGCGAAAGCAUCUGCCAAGGAUGUUUUCAUUAAUCAAGAACGAAAGUUAGGGGAUCGAAGACGAUCAGAUACCGUCGUAGUCUUAACCAUAAACGAUGCCGACCAGCGAUUAGGAGACGUUGAAUACAAAACACCACCAUCGGCGCGGUCGUCCUUGGCGCGUUCGUGUUCACGCACGGGCGCGCGAGGGCGGCUUAGCCCGGUGGCACCGGUGAAUGACUCCCCUAGCA
rnacentral:rRNA from 1 species